rnacentral:rRNA from 1 species
ACGGAGGGUGCAAGCGUUGUUCGGAAUUACUGCGCGUAAAGCGUACGUAGGCGGCGGAUCAAGUCGAAUGUUAAAGCCUGGGGCUCAACCCCAGAGAUGCACUCGAUACCGGUCUGCUAGAGGGUGAUAGAGGAAAGCGGAAUUCCCAGUGUAGCGGUGAAAUGCGUAGAUAUUGGGAGGAACAUCAGUAGCGAAGGCGGCUUUCUGGGUCACACCUGACGCUGAGGUACGAAAGCGUGGGGAGCAAACGGGA